rnacentral:rRNA from 1 species
GAUGAACGCUGGCGGCGUGCCUAAUACAUGCAAGUCGAGCGAACAGACGAGGAGCUUGCUCCUCUGACGUUAGCGGCGGACGGGUGAGUAACACGUGGAUAACCUACCUAUAAGACUGGGAUAACUUCGGGAAACCGGAGCUAAUACCGGAUAAUAUAUUGAACCGCAUGGUUCAAUAGUGAAAGACGGUUUUGCUGUCACUUAUAGAUGGAUCCGCGCCGCAUUAGCUAGUUGGUAAGGUAACGGCUUACCAAGGCAACGAUGGGUAGCCGACCUGAGAGGGGGAUCGGCCACACUUGAACUGAGACACGGUCCAGACUCCUACGGGAGGCAGCAGUAGGGAAUCUACCGCAAUGGGCGAAAGCCUGACGGAUCAACGCCGCGUGAGUGAUGAAGGUCUUCGGAUCGUAAAACUCUGUUAUUAGGGAAGAACAAAUGUGUAAGUAACUAUGCACGUCUUGACGGUACCUAAGCAGAAAGCCACGGCUAACUACGU